AAAGAAUAUAACGAUACAUCUCAUUGAAAUUCUCUAAUUAUUUAUCGAAUAAUAAAUUGCAUAUAAAAUUAGUAGUAUUAUAUGGUAAAAUAGCACUUAAUUAUUGAUGAAACAAAAAAAAUCAUUAUGGAAAUAUAUUUCCAGAUAUUUAGAAUUAGUUAUUACUCAAGCCCGCUAUUAUAUUUCCAACUUGAUGUAAAAACCGAAAUUUUUACGCGACGCAGAGCCUAUCAUUGUCCCUUUUCGUCGAACGGGAAUCGACGAUUCGUUGAAAAGCUUUCGUGCACCUGUCUGGCUCGUAAAAGCGGUGUCCUUGAUCGUUUCCUUGGAGCUCAUCGAGCCGCACAUGCUUAAUUAAUACGUGCUCGCGGUGCAACGGAGUUAUGUGUUUCUCGCGAUACGCAGAUGCAGUCAUCAGAAUGCAAGAUAAAACAAGGCCAAGCUAAUUUCCUGUACGUGACCAUUAACGCGCGACGGUGUGUUCCUGCUUGCGUAUUCAUCAUCGAUUAGAAUAUAUACGUAUGUAUGUAAAUACGUGGCCCAAAUUUUCCAAAAAAAUGUAUAAAAUGAAAUUCAAAGAAACGUAAAAUAUGAGAAUGGAAUAAUAAAUUUCAAUUUCCGAAGGUAAUGAAGGUAACUAGAACGCCACCAUACGAAACAAUUAGGAAAUAGAAGAUCACGCGAUGCGAAGUGUGUAAUAGUCGAAUCAAGAUUCUAUCGAGUGAAUAGAAAAUAUGUUAUGUGAUUAAAAGGAUGAAAAGUAACAAAAAUCAUGAUUACAUCAACAUAAUUCGCAACAUAUAAUUCGCACUUAUUGAAUUAAUAAAAGUGAAAUAAUAAGGAAAUAAAAGGAAUUAACGAGAAGACUUCUUGACGAUGGAUACAGAUUUCUUAAGAGAUUCAAUUAAACUCGGAAAUACUAAGAAACAGUUAGAAAUUCUCAUCCACAAGUUUAUAUCUAAGAAUUUUACAAUCGGAUUCGAAUCACGAUUAAUAAGAAUGUACGAGGAGUCGGUUCAAAGGGAAAGUAAGUGCUUCGUUGUUCGAUCAUAGGCUUAAUACACGAUCUCGAGAGAAGAGACUGACUGCAUUCCGCGGAUGCAAAAGCGCAUAGCCGACCAGUGACGUUUCACUAUCCCUCUCGCGCGCUUUCUCCUGUGCGCGAUAGAGCAAAGCUGAUGGAUUCAAGCUUUUUCUAGCCGCCACCUGCUCGCUUCUCUAAUUACGCCGCUCACGCACCUUAGAUUUAUUAAUCAUCACGUUUUUGCCAUCAUUUGUCGGCCGUUCCUUCACUCUAUCAAUCCGACGCGUUCUUCGAUCAGAUUCACGAUUCAAUCCACGAUUUUUAUAUCGCGAGAGAAGUCGAAAUUGAUCGAACUUUUCUUCGAAACGACAAUUAAUCGUCGAUAACUCAAACGUAUUGAAUAGAUGCAGAAGUUUCUAUAUUGUUCGUUUUUAUUUCUUGCAAAGAAUCUAUAAAGUUCAAACGUGUUUCGUAAUAACGUGCAAGUAUGGUAAUAUAUUUUUCUCAAAUUUUUCUCUUUAUAAUUAUGAUAUCGGAAUAUCAUAGAUAUCUUUCAUUUCAACUGUUAACACAAAAAACGAAAAGUCAUCGUGCUUAAUUACCUUUCCAUUCAAUCUAUCCUUUCUAUUUGUGCAUAGUGCUUAUUAUUAGGUCGCAGAUAUUUUUUGCAAAAUUAAAUUUUUGUGAAUAUGACCAAAAAAAGAACAGAGGGGCUUGAAUAGAAAUUUGCUUUAUUAUCCUCAAAUGUUAAGUAUAACUUGCUACUAUUUCGUAUCUUUUUGUGUGUCAUAUUCCUAACUUUUUAUAAAAUUUUGCAUAAAUAUCUAAAUAUUCGCUAAAUAAAUCUACUAAUCAAGAUAGAAAAGAUUAAACAAGUUUAAUAUUAUACUCAUUAUAGCCUUAAAAUCAUGGUUAGUCUAUAAAAUAAAACGAACGAGUAAAUCUAACAAUAAUAUCCGCAAAGUAAUUACAAAGUAAAUUAAUGAUUUUCAAACACGUUUGAACUUGUCGCAAACGAAUAAUAAUUAAUCUUGAUAAUUUUUCGGGAAACGGUUAAUUCGAGAACCGGCCAAAAAAUUGUGAACCCGCCAAAUAUUAUGACAGCAGGACGAGCGGUGCCCGCCCACCUAUCAUUCAACCGAGACUCGCGUGGAUCUGUUCGCGCGAGCCUUCCCAAUAAAAUAUGUAUCGGUUUAAAUCGGUAGGCGUCGCCUUAUCGCCGUACGCGUGUCACAUUUUCGGCUCGACGCUGUAAUUUUUCUCUCCCCGCGAGUUUCUCUCCUUUAUUUUAAUAAUCGAGCCGAGCGUACCCACGGGCUUCGACGAAAGUUUGCCCUCGAUAUUACGUUACGACGGGAAAUAUCACGACGGGAUAAACGCACCGUGUUCGAUAAUUGAUUGGGCGAAUAUUUCUUCUUCUUUUAUCCAAUUUAUUCUUUUCGACAGAAGCCGUGAAAAGAUACUUGCUGGAAAUUGUACAGUGUCGAAUCUUUGAUUUCUCGUCGCUCGAAGCAUUAUACACAGAAAUAUUCGAAUACUGCAUCAAUUUAAAUUUAUAAAAGGAAAAAUUGCAGGAAAUAUCUUCCGUUCGAGUGGAAUCGGUGGUUGAAGUUUGAAGUGGCGAUAUCUAGAAAUCGAUCUGUAAGAGCGAUAUAUAGUUUAAUAGUCGAUCUGUAAGAAUGCUAAUCCACGCUUAAUGAAGUCUAAUCACCGAUCUGUUACAAGUUAUAAUAGCUCGUCUAGAAAUAUAUCGUGGCCGUAAAGUCGAUCGAGCAAAAAAUCCCAACUCGUACCGAUUACCGACAACGUUAUAUAUAUUCCAUCGCGACGUCAAUUGCACCGUCGAUUGAUACAACGAUUUACGACCGCGUUACGACGUUCUCUGUACCGAGAUAUAUAUAUAUACGUGUAUAUCUCGAGGAGAAACACACUUGUGUUUUGAACGAAGGUAGCAACGUGGAGAAUCCGGUCGAUUAACGAUCGAGCGGCCUCGACCCCCUCGGGAGAUGGUGAAAAAGGGGGACACGGUCCCCGAAAAAUAGGAGGAGCCACGAGGGCCAUAUGCUUUUCGCACAAUAUGUCGCGUUUUUACCGACCGAGCGGUGGGAGCGAAUCCGGUCGCAGAUGUGACGAGAGGAGAGAAAGAGGGCCGUCGCCGAUACGAUCAGCGAAACAAAGGGCGGCCACCACCAGGUAUAUGUUCACCCCCUCUCUCUCCUCUCUCUCUCUCUCUGCCUCUCCUCCCCUCCCGAAAUAAUAAAGUCGUGGCACAUAUCGGGCUCACGUGAAAACGCAUUGUGCCGACGUGUCUCUUCCACGGAAAUUCCAGCCGAGCGUUUAUUAUGAACCGGGUACAGAGUCCAACGUGCUCGAAAGCCCCGAUGGGCCAGAUAGCAAGGGUUGAAACCCUCUCUUUCUCUCUUCUCGUGCCGCUCAACCGACCGUCCGCCAUCUUUGAUCCAUCGUGGAGAUAGGCCUCGAACAGCUGGGAACUUUUCGCUGCUUUUUUCUUUUUCCUCUCUUUUUUUUAUUCCUCCUCCUUUCUCUUCUGCGUCGUUUCCUUUCUUGCUUUCUUUCUUUCUUUUUUUUUCCUCGCUCGGUUGGAUGUCUCUGUUUUAUUCGGGGCGCAACAAGGGGCGAGAGCCAGCCACCCCUGGUAAUAUUCCUUUUUUUGAAGAAGAGGAGAGGAAGGUUUUCCAACGAGCGAAUCCUCGACGAUCCUUGAAGUGUGGCGGAGAAAGGGUGGACGCACGGCGGGGGAGGGGAAGGAGGGGAGGGCCGGGUUUCUGCGCGGAAUCGCUCGUUAACGGCUGUCCUACACGAGCUCUCUCUCUCUGUCUUUCUCUACCUUUCCUUCCUUCUCGUCCUGGCCGAUGGUUAUCGCGCGCGCCAUGCCACGCCGUGCAACACCGCGCGAUGCUCGUCGGAGUUACGGUCCUCCGGGCGUUCCUGGACAUUCCAGUGGCAACAGAAGCGCCAGCGUCGCUCGCGGGACCCGUUAAUCCACCCGGGGAGAGGAAUUUUUUCGCCGAACUCUCGAAGCCGUAUCGCGUGCCCUCUGACAUUUUUCUCGGGAAUUCAGCCGCGAUUAAAUAACGAAGCGGGGAAGGAGGGGGGAAGGAAAAUUGAAAAUGAUCCUUCUCCUUUAUUUUUCAUCCUUCCGUCGUCCCGAUAUUUGUAAGAGAAACGAUCCAAAAAAAAAAUCUGAGGUCUUAUUAUGGUCCAAAUACGGAUAAGGAUGGUUGGAUAAUUUUUUUUUUUUAGUUAUCAUCGAUUCCUUCGUUUCGAUACGAAACGAAAAUAAAUAAUUUUUUGUCGCCUCUGUUUCAGAAAUAAUGAUUUUAAGAAGUUAAACGAAUUGAUUUUUUCGCACAUUUCAAAUUAAUAUAAACUAUGUUAGAGUUUGAGCAACGAUGUACAUGUACGUAAGUUACGUAAGUUCAAUUUGAUUGAACGAAUUUCCAUUCGUGAGUUUAAUAUAUAUAUAUAUAAAAUUAAUGUUACGUUACGAUCACUUCGCGAAUUAAAUUCUCUCUUCCUUAUUUUUUCAGCGCAAUGCACAACAAAAUCGAAGUAAAUCUCUCUCUCUCUCCAUCUGCAACAUAUAAUACAAUCGAAGCGAAUAUCAUAAAGAAAUCUUGCCAAGAACAUUCGUUGACACUGCUCUCUGUAUUUCAGAAGCCAUGUUCGUCACCACGCCUACCAACUUCACUCCCGCAAAUCCGCUCGAAUAUCCUAAAUUUCCAAGACACGUGCGAGCAGAGAUCGGGCGACGACUCUUCCGAGAAAAGAAUCCGCUUGGAACGACCGAACCAUGAACCCGUUCGUCGGUCGGCCGAGGAAAAUGUCGUUUGCCCUCGCACAAUGCGUUAUCCGCGCGAUCUGCCGCCGCCAUUGUGUCCGAUCCGCGACGUAGGAUCCGUCGAAAGCGUCGUCCAAUUUCAGCCUCGCCGGCUGAAAGUAAAACUUGUUGUGUCGCGUUUUUCCGUGAACGAGAAAUUUUCGUCCCGAAUGCAGCCGAGAUUAUCACGUGCUAUCACGGGAUUAAUUAUGGAGAUCAGCAUACCCGAAUGAUUUUGAAGGGAAAAGUACGCGUUGAUUUCAGUUUUCUCGAACAUUAAUUUGGUUAUUAAUGAUUCCGUUCGCUUUCUUCUCGGCGUAGUGAAAAAGUUUAAUUAUACGAGACGCGAAUGUCUAAUUGGUCUUGGAAAUUUUUUUUUAUUUUUUCUUUCUCAAAUCUCUUUAAUUAAGUUUCUCUGAUUUAUUGAUAUGUAACAAUGACUCUUUUUUUCUUUCUUUUUUUAGAACACUCUAGCGAUUAUAUUAUCCGCAAUUACGUGGCAGAAUUAAUUAUCUAAUCUAAUCACGUCUCGUGAUUAAACGUCUCGUGAUUAAACGUCUCGAUUAUUAUUAGACACUUGGAUUAUCUCAAGUAGAAGAUAUGCUUUUUUCCCCCCAAAUGCUACAUAUAUUGUGUUUCUCGAUAACGAUCACGAGAUAAAAAAAGCGAAAAAAAUUUGGACGAGAAAAAUGAUCCAAUGAUCUUCGUCACGAAGCAACGAACGGUGUGAUUAGAAAUGCAAGGGAUAGAAAGAAUUCGUAGCUCGUAUUCGUAUAAAGGAAUAAAAGAAUCUCGUCUGAAUCGAAGGUGUGGGAGGAAGUGUAAAAAGAGAGAGAGAGAAAGAAAGGCGAUUUCCCUGGGAGGCGGAUUUCGUGAGAUCGGCAUGGUGGUUUAUGAGCAGCACACGCAGCCGUGGUCGGGGGCAGAAACGGCGACUGAAUUAUGUACCAGAUGCAAAUGUCGUCGUAUUGUCCGGUGCCGGCGGCGUGCUCCAUCCAUCUUUCAGCUUCCUUGAAAAUUCCGCUCAUGAGAGACGAGAUUUGCAUCCGUUCACACUUUGAAUAACGUCGCUGUCCAACCACGACCGCGCCAUCGCUGCUCUCCUUUUUUUCCCCCUCUCUUUCUCUCCAAAGAAGAGUCGAGGGGGAGGGGGAGAGGAAAGGAAUAAGAACAAGAAGAUGGUAUCGGUGAUAUCCGAGAUAGUAUUCCUGUCGAUUUCUUCGCCCCUUUAUCGCACGCUCGUCACCGGUUCGAGCAAAAGUUCCUAUUUCGAUCGAAGCGAGAAACAGGUUCUCCAUCUCGUCAGACUAUACGCUUAGAAUAUCCUGGCGUAUCCUCCUUAUCGAAUGCUCGAAUCGGGAAUUAGAGUGAGUGGUGUCCUCGGAGAUUGCAGGAUGUUUUCCCCAUUUGCAAUUUUAAUGAAACGGGCGUCGGUGAAAUUUCAGUUAUAAAAAGGAGGGAGGAUGUAUAGUUUAUAGGUCGAGAGGAGAGGUUAGGUUAGGACGUGGAGCUCGAACGUGGAAUCAACGACGAGCGAUUCGCCGAUCGGUUAAUAACAACCGCGUCUUGUUGGACGACGACAAACGCCAAACGAUUUAUUUCGCGAAUUUAUGCCCGGCCAGGAUUGCCUCCGCGCGCCAGUCGGAAGCAAUUUACAAGUUAAUAGGUUAGGACGAUUCGUUACGCGUCCUCCUUCUCUCGAUUUAUUCCGUCCCACCGUCUAAUUGGCUCGUCUCUUUUUUUUUUUUGCGGCCUAAAGGCUUCUUCGCACCUUGUCCUUCGUCACCUAUCAACCGUAAUUUUCUAUCUUUCUUACCUACGCUUCUUUUCCUUCUUUUCAUCGACUCUUUCCGUUUGGUUAUUAACUUCGCGAUUGAACGAUCGCUGUUUCUUUCUCUUUCCGCUCGUUUCCCUGUGUCAAAAAUCGCAUUCGCGGAAUAUAUUCGGUGACCGGGAGCGAUCCAGAGUUCGAAUUUGAAUCGCAAUCGACGCGAUAAUAAGAGAGUCGAAUCGAGAGUGGACACCGUUAACCCGGGCAAUACUUUUUUCUCGUGGCCGGCCGGCUACUUAAGAUUCGGCACGCCGCGAUUGGACGACCAGUUUUCGACUGUCCGACAAGUCGAUCGAUCAUUCACCGACACAAAGAAACAAUCGGCUCGCUCGAUAAACUACCGUGCUUGUACAAGCGACGGACUCGAAAUUGAUUUACCUCGACCAAUUCGGCUUGCCUCGAUCGCUCCCCUUUUUAUCCCGGGACAGAUUUGUUGGGAAAUUUUCAUACGCCACUUCUUACGCCGUGAAAAAGAAAAAGAAACGCGGCCAUGUCCGGAUAUACGGACGUGAAUUUGUCCGCUUAUGCUCACGAGUUAUCCCCACCACUUCCUAAUAUAUCGCCCACUCGAGACAAGUUUCGCUAUUAUCUGUGAUCCGCAUCUACGAUGAUUUAACUGUUAUUGAAUUUAUCGAAACGAGAGAAAAAAAAUAAUCUUUUUACAUUUUCUUAUUUAAUCGCUACAAGAUUGUUUAAGAUUCAUUAGUGAAAUUUUUACGUGAUUACGUGAUUCAAUUAAUUUGAGAUUAGACUCGUUCUCACUACGCACGCGCGACAGGUCUAUUCUCUCGUUGUACGGCCAUUCGGUUCGGCACUAUUCGGCAGUAUUCGGCAUCGUUCGGAACCGAUCGCAGUCACAUAUUCAGACAUUAUUGUAAAAAGGGUAGAACUUGAAAAACAAUGGAUUCAAAGUAUAUAAACAUAUACCUUAAGAGGUGGCUCAAGGUUUCCACGCGACUGAUAUAGAAUAAAGCGUGGAACGAAGGAUGGAGAAAAAAAUUCGAGCAAAUUGCAGGUGAAACGCCGGCGAAUGUGAGUAACAUUGUAGCAGCGAGGGAUCUUGCGCGUGAAACUUGCGGGACCGUAACCACGCGAGAAAGUACGAAAGAAUUUUCCUCGCGUGCGUUCGUUCGUUCGUUUCCGUGCCGACCGGUGUUUAGAGCGAUAUUCCUCGCUCGAGAAAUCUCGCCUUAAUAAAUAAUUAUUAAAGAAGAUUAAUUAUCAAAGAGAAAAAUUUCUGACUUCUGUCUCGGAUAAACCGUCUCCGAUCGUGAAGGAUAACGAUCCAUGGAAAAAUAAGCGAAACAGACGCGUGAAGGGGAAACGUUUAGCGAAAUAAAGAAGAAAUUAAUUUUCAGAGGACGAAGUGAAAAUGCAGUCUACUCGAUUCGCCGCCCGAUGGAAAAGUCGAUCGCUGCCGAAGAAUGCAUUGUUUCGAGGUCACCGCACCGCGUUCGUGCACACAGGUGCACGAUGCAACCAUGUUUCACGACGAUCGAUCGUGUGUGCAGUUGGCGAUUUAUAUGCAGGAAUGUUUCACCCGUGGAAGUGUUUCUCCGUGUAAUUGCCGGGUGAAUCCGCGAAAAACCAUCCAUUCCACCUUGCCCCAGACCCACGAUCCUUCCCUCCAUUGUCCUCGAUCGUUCUGCCUCCAUUCACCCAGGCUAAAUUGUUAUCGUUUCCCACAUGUAAGCAUGAUUAAGCGUGGUUGUUAGGGGUCGAGGAGAGCCCUGGCAAGGGUAAUCCACGGCCCUAUCGGCGUUUCGAGGCGUCAGCCUCGCUUGCCCCUCGUCAAAAGGGGUCCGGAUCUUCGAAGAAGGAUUCGUGGAUUCCCCAGGGCAGCUGCGUACGCUAUCAUUGGUCGCGAUCUCUAUGGAUCCCACCCGAGUCCGGGAAACGACCCCUCCAGCGAUCGAGGACCAAUCCUGCCGCGUCUUUCCCAUGCUACGAGGGUAGAGGAUCACUGGUUGGGGUGGACUCGAUUUUCGGGGCUGCUUCCGGACGAAAAUUACACGGGGAGAAAAAUCCUCGGAGAGAAACGUAGUUUUCUGAAAGUUUCGAGAUUGCCCGGAUUUCUCUUAUCUCUUCUCUUCUCCCUGGAUUCUGGAAAAGUUACUAGGUACACGUGUCCGGGGAAUUUUUUUUUAUCUCGUAUAUAUAGCGAUAAUCGAUAGUUUCUGCUCAGGAACGGUAUCGAUUUAAACGUUCGUGGUGACGCGUGUACGUUCAUCUCGAAUAUUAUUACGAAUUAAAAAAUGUGUUAUUGCAAAAUUAUUAUUUUACGUCGAAUCGUUGACUUCGUAGAUCAACUCGAGAAAUAAUCUUUGUAAUUCAAUUACGAUUAGCUUAAAAAUCUUAUCUUAUUCCUUACACGAAUCACAUCUCCGACUUAAGAACAAUCAACAAUUUACCAUUCGUGCAACCAUUUAAAUAUUACGAAAAGGAAAAAAGAAUUACAGUGGAUACGUUUACUCGACUAAUAAAGAGGUAGGGAACACGGUUGGAGAAAAUUCAUCUCGUAACAGAAUCAUUCUCUCGGAAAUGGUCGGGUAUCCGGGGCGAAGCUGGCGCGGAACGGCUACCAGAAAAAGGGUCUCGUCGAUCUAAAAAGAAUCGUCGUGGAAGUCCAUAAAUCUUGGGUCGCGGAGAACGAGAAGUAGGAGGAGGAGGAGAGAAGAGAAAAGAAGAGGAGAGGAGAGGAGAGAGGGAGGAGUGUAGCGGGUGGACGGUGUAGGCCGACUGGUUGGCCGGGCUCUCCUCCAUCGUUGGGGCCCGCGGGCACGAAAAACGCGGCUGCCGGUGGCGCGCUCGAAUAAAUCAAACUGGCGUGAAAAUCAAUUGUAAGACACUCGCCUCGCGUGUACCCUUCCCUCCCCCUCUCCCUCCAUCCUCUCUAUCCAUCUCCGCUGCUCUCCCUUCCCCCUCCCCUCCUCCCCUCCCCUCCUCGCGCUCUCGUGGCUUUCGUGCGUUACCCGUGAACCGAGUCACCUUCCUUUGUGUGCCCCCCCUCCCUCCCCACCCACUCCCUCUCGUGCCUCCCGCUCGCUCGUUCCGCGUUCGUUCUUUGUUCCUGCGCGCUCGUGUGCUUCAUGUGCGAAGGGUGUGCGCGAGUGUGAGGAGCGUAUGUGCACGCGCGCCGUACGCUCGAACGAAAUGGAGAAGCAGGGAGACAAGUUGGAUAGAGCGAGAAGUUUCGUUGCGCGGCGAAGCGAGGGGCAGGAUAGGAUAGGAUAGGAUAGGAUAGGAUAGUAUAGGAUAGGAUAGAGUAGGGUUGGUUGGUUGGUUGGUGGUUGUUGUUACACAGGGGUGUUGUCAAAGAAGGGCAGAGAGAGGGUGUAAAGUCAAUACGCGGGUGGAAUGCCGCGCAGACGCCAGCCGUUGGCCAAUUGUAACGUACGCCAACGCUCAUGGCGGAGAUACGGCGCUGCGCGGCGUUGGCGUCGCUCCAUCUUGCCGUCGGGACGACAUCGCUGGUUUCCUUCCGUCCGCAACGGUGGAAUUUCGGCAGAAUCGAUAGAAACCUGGUCCACUUGGUAGUUUUUUUACGUACGCUUUCUUACGAUGCGUGGACAAUGCAUGGUUGGAUUAGGUUAUUAAUCACUGUUUCACUCGGGCAACGCGGCUCGAUUCAACAAGGAUCGGUCAGGUGCGUUCUCGAAAGUGCACUUGACGAAAUAAUACAUUCACCGGGGAUAAGUGCGCCGACCCCUUUACGCACAACGAGCAACUCUCGGGUAUAUGAGAACGUUACAGAAGCUAAUAAUAGGCCGAAUGACUCGAAACCAGAGUGAUCGUUAACGAAGACAAAAAGCGCAACAACGCGCGAUUAAUAUGAGUGGAAUUGCCUCUACCGGACAAUUUGCUUGUCAUUCUCCUCCAUCGAGAGGCUGUCGAAACCCGACAAUGAGUCGGGCACAAAAUCGUCCAAUUCUCUUCGAUUCUCCCUUUUUUUUUUCUUUCGCUCUCAACUUAUCGAGUCUUUGCAUUUUUUCCAGAUUUUUUCCGUUUUUUUCCCUGUCGUAAUUCCCCGAUUAGAGGUUAGAAAGGAAGGAAGGAAGGCGAAAGCGGAGAAAGGAAGGGACGAAGCCGGUCACUCGUGAUCGAUUCUCGAGCGUUUCCGGUGGAAAGUCGGGAAACGAAUAAUAGCGUGCGCGGGGGUGGUUGUGCGCACCCCCAGAGGGUGAGCGACAAGUAAUGGCCGCCGCGGACGUUAUUUAUCGCUUUGUCCCGGUGCACACGCGAACACGUAGGCGCGCACCGGCAAUUUCCACCGAUAAGUGACCGCGUGCUCGCGCUCGCUCACGCCUGUCCCGGCGAUUAGUCGCGCGACUGAAUAAACGGCGUGACGAUCGCUCUAAACUCGGACAACACCGAACCUCUCUCGCCUAUUAACCGGCGAUCCUCUUCGUCUUAUCGUCGACAGUUUGAAAUUAUAAACCCUUAUCGUAUAAUCGAGCACAUUUGCGUGUAAAAUUGGGCAAAGAGUCACCAAAUUGUCUUAUAAUGACUCUAAUCUAAAACUCGUCACCGCCAGAUGUCUCACUCCGCCAAUUGUCUUUCUCGCAAGUGAUCGCUUACGUCGCUUCUUUAUAUAAAGUUCUUGUCCAGUUAAGAAUCGAAGUUAAGAUUCGAAGUUCUUCUCGUAUCUAUCACGGAAUUAGCUACGUUACGUGAUUUUUUGGGACAUUCGAAAUCAAAAAUUAAUAUUAUCAUUAGAGAUAUAUUAUUCGUCGAAGCAUCUCGUAGAAUCUGACCGUCCGUAAUUUCUAAAUAAUUGUCGUGAAAAAGUAGAGUCGAAAUAAAACAACGAUACUUGAAGUAAUGUGUUCUUGUUGUCCAACAAUCUGUUUGUACAAGAGUUAGUAGAGUCUCGAACUAAUGUUUUUCUUUCGUAUUUAUCGUUUAAAAUCCAAAACACAGCGAGCCUCGAGAUAAGUGAAAUCGCAACUGUUCGGAGGGAUCAGAAGCCAUGUUUCCUCGGUUGACGACGUUGCCCGAAGCAGCUGGGAGCCGUACGAUCGAUGGAGUCGCGGUGGA